UACGUAGGGGGCUAGCGUUGUCCGGAUUUAUUGGGCGUAAAGAGCGUGUAGGCGGCCAGGUAGGUCUGCUGUGAAAACUCGAGGCUCAACCUCGAGACGUCGGCGGAAACCAUCUGGCUAGAGUCCGGAAGAGGAGAGUGGAAUUCCUGGUGUAGCGGUGAAAUGCGCAGAUAUCAGGAAGAACACCAGUGGCGAAGGCGGCUCUCUGGAACGGUACUGACGCUGAGACGCGAAAGCGUGGGGAGCGAACAGG
rnacentral:rRNA from 1 species